rnacentral:rRNA from 1 species
GUGGGGAAUAUUGGACAAUGGGGGGAACCCUGAUCCAGCCAUGCCGCGUGUGUGAAGAAGGCCUUUUGGUUGUAAAGCACUUUAAGUGGGGAGGAGGCUUACCUGGUUAAUACCUGGGCUAAGUGGACGUUACCCACAGAAUAAGCACCGGCUAACUCUGUGCCAGCAGCCGCAGUAAUACAGAGGGUGCGAGCGUUAAUCGGAUUUACUGGGCGUAAAGCGCGCGUAGGUGGUUAAUUAAGUCAAAUGUGAAAUCCCCGAGCUUAACUUGGGAAUUGCAUUCGAUACUGGUUAGCUAGAGUAUGGGAGAGGAUGGUAGAAUUCCAGGUGUAGCGGUGAAAUGCGUAGAGAUCUGGAGGAAUACCGAUGGCGAAGGCAGCCAUCUGGCCUAAUACUGACACUGAGGUGCGAAAGCAUGGGGAGCAAACAGGAUUAGAAACCCCGGUAGUCC